CUUCUAAUUUGGGUCAUUUUUAACCAUACCGGAACCUAUUCAAUCCCUAAACUCUCUCUUAACAUUCCCCAGGAUUCAAGAGUGAAUCUAAGGCCAAACUACCCAAGUCUAUCAUCAAAAGUCUCAUUAAACUAGCGGGGAGUGCUUCUAUAGCAUUGCUGUUGUGUUGAGGAUUCCUUUAAGUUAAAUAAAUAUUUGGUUGAAGGUUAUUGUUUCUGUUUGAGCAUGAUUUGUGGAGAAUUAUGGUUCCGCCAGUUCCAUGGAAAGGUUGACUUAGAGGUUUGGGUAGGCAGUUUGACGGACCCCUAGAGUAAAAAAUUUCAAUUCCAACUGUUGAUCGAUGGACUCCAUAUCAUCCACAGUGCAGUCGAGGCUAGAGGUCCUUAUGUUUUGAUUUUAUAUAUAGACUUAUGGGUAUGUCAGGGCCUUGUCUCAACUAUGUUAUGUUAGUUAGAUGCUUUUAGAGGCUUUUGUGGACCUAUGGAUACCUAUGGUAAGUUACAGAGGGUUACAAUUGAGGGCGGCAUAUAUAUAUAUAUAUAUAUAUAUAUAUAUAUAGGCGCUUCAAAUAUGGUAAGUUUAUCGGGUUUUUUAUGGAAUGGUCGUAGCAUACGUAAGACAUUAGAUGCAUCUCCACCUUACCUAUGUUGAGGUGUGACAAUCUGAACGGAACGCUCUUCUGAGUCAACUUGGUCAAUGGAGUGAUGAUAGUAACUACUCAAACCUAAGAAACUCGUGCUCUUUGUUGUGGUAGAAGGUUUGGGCCAACUCUGAGCUGCCUCAAUCUUCUUCGGAUCUACCUUGAUCCCAUAAUUAGAUACUGCAUGGCCCAAGAAUACUAUUGAGACCAACCAAAAUUCACAAAUAAAGAACUUAACAUACAACUUCUUCUCCCUUAAUUUCUGAAGCACAAUCCUUAAAUGCUACUCGUGCUUCUCCCUACUAUGGAAAUAUACCAAGAUAUCAUCAAUGAGCACAUUGAGAAAAGAAUCCAAAUACGGCUAGAACACACUCUUCAUCAAAUGCAUUAAAGUUAAGGGAAUUAAUCAAACCAAAAGACAUCACCAGAAACUCAUAAUGCUCAUAACAAGUCCUAAAAGUUGUCUUAGGAAUGUUUGAAGCCCUUAUCUUCAACUAGUAAUACCCCGAUCUCAAGUCAAUUUUUGAGAACACCCUAGUGCCCUGAAACUGAUCAAAUAAAUCAUCAAUGCAUGGCAGUGGGUACUUGAUCUAGACAGUAACCUUGUUCCUUGUUCAACUACAUUUAAUCAAUACACAUUCUCAUGGAACCAUCCUUCUUCUUCACAAACAACAGCGACGCACCCCGAGGUGAUACUAUAUUGACCAUAUAGGUCAUUUUGAGUUUUAGCUCCCUAUUUCAUGAUUGAGACCAUUCAUAGCACUAUUUGAUGAUCUAUGACUUGUGUGUGUGAUAUGUUUCGAUUUUUAGAAAGUUUAACUCUGAAUUUUCAAAGAAAAUUUGAUUUUUGAACCCCUCCAUUCCAACCAUGGCAACUCCGGCAUGGCCAACGUCAUGUUCUUAGCGUGAUAAUCAAGAAUAUCAUGGUACGAAGAUAGCCAAUCCGUACCCAAGAUCACAUCAAAGUCUACCAUAUCUAAUAAUAGAAAGUCUGCUCUCGUCUCAAAAACACAUAUAGUGACCAUAAAGAACUAAUAAACGUGAUCCACCACAAUAGAAUCCCUAACUGGUGUAGAUACAUGGACAGGGGUAACAAGCGAAUCAUAUGGCAUAUUCACACAAGAAGCAAAGUAUUAUGACACAUAUGAAUAAGUAGAGCCAGGAUCAAACAAUAUCAAACCUUCCAUGGGGCACACAUAAACAAUACCUAUGAUAACUGCAUCAGAAGUGACAACCUCGGUCCUCCUUGGGAAUGCAUAGCAUCUAGCUUGACCUCCACUUGACUGAGCUCCUCCUCUAGGACCACCACGUCCUAUAUGACCUCCACCUCGAACUGAUUGAGCGGUUGGAAAUAGGUGCAUUAUUUCUUGAUGUUCCCCAAGUCCCCACACUUAUAGCAACCUCUGCCCGGAAUGACUAUGUGGCAUAAAACAGACCUUGUGAACAAGAAUAUCCACCAAAAAAAGUUGGUAUAGAUAAACUCUAAAUAAUUGGAGCGCGAUGAGAAAUCUCUUCUAUAAGUGCACUGAAUAAAUACUGCACUGGAGCUCCUCGACAAGGUGGUGGUGCAUGAUAAGAUGGCCUCCUAGAAUGGCCUCUCCUAAAUUAACCUCGGCGUCCACAUGAGGCACCACUGAAGCUACCUGAAUGUCGGGACCUCUUUUCCCUGCCUUGCAUCAUCUCUCUAGUCUCAUUGCAGAUGCGCUAAAUACGAUGUUCUAUAUCCACAUCCUAGUGAAAUAAAGCCCCGAUAUCUGCCUCCCUAGCCAUAGCGCAAAUGCCGUGGUGAAUAUAAUCAAAGAUUCUCUUCACUCUCUCCUCAUUAGAGGGAAACAAAAUACAGCAUGUCACGACCCAAAACUCAACAUGUCAUCAUGGCGCCUAUCACAAAACUAGGCAAGCCGACAAUCACAAAUAACUAUACAUUUUGAAUUGAAAACAUGAUGAAAUAAGUUUAACAGUGACAAUUCUCAUAAUAACCGAUAAGAAUAUACCGUGACUCAAUAAAAAUCCCUAAAAUUCGGGUGUCAAUGAGUACAUGAGCUACUAAAAUGUCAACACAGUCAAAACUGCUAAUACAACUGUAUAGAAAGAUAGAACAAUGCUAAAUAAACUGAAAAGAAGGAGAGUCGAGGUGUGCGGAUGCCAAAGCAGCUACCUUAAAAGUCUUCAAGCAGAUGAAGCUCCAGAUCUAGCAACCGCCAUGUCCGGAUACAUAUGGAUAUACACACAAAGUGCAAAGUAUAGUAUGAGUACAACCGACCUAAUUUACUCAAUAAGUAACAGGACUAACCUUGAGUUGAAUGCAGUGAUGAGCUCAGAAAGGUACAGUCAAAUCCAGAUAAUAACAAUGCAGAUAUGACACGAAAAUGACAGUAAUAACUCAAAGAAGAUCUCAUAAUCAGUUUGUAAACAGUAUAGAAAUGUAGACAUGCUUUCAAGUUUUUAAUUGUUUAAGCUCAACACGGAUAAAAUAUGCCAAGUAUGACCAAUAUGAGGUAUGUUACAUCUCGAUAUCUACAUGUCAAAUAUACAUGUCAAUUAUAAUGCAACACAGUGAUAAGGCCAUAUACUAAUACUCUCAGAGUA